rnacentral:rRNA from 1 species
GACGAACGCUGGCGGCGUGCUUAACACAUGCAAGUCGAACGCUGAAGCUCAGCUUUUGUUGGGUGGAUGAGUGGCGAACGGGUGAGUAACACGUGAGUAACCUGCCUCCUUCUUUGGGAUAACGCCCGGAAACGGGUGCUAAUACUGGAUAUUCACUGGUCUUCGCAUGGGGGUUGGUGGAAAGGGUUUUUCUGGUGGGGGAUGGGCUCGCGGCCUAUCAGCUUGUUGGUGGGGUGAUGGCCUACCAAGGCUUUGACGGGUAGCCGGCCUGAGAGGGUGACCGGUAACAUUGGGACUGAGAUACGGCCCAGACUCCUACGGGAGGCAGCAGUGGGGAAUAUUGCACAAUGGGCGCAAGCCUGAUGCAGCGACGCCGCGUGAGGGAUGGAGGCCUUCGGGUUGUGAACCUCUUUCGCUCAUGGUCAAGCCGCAACAAUGGUUGUGGUGAGGGUAGUGGGUAAAGAAGCGCCGGCUAACUACGUG